UACGCGUCUAUUUAUAGUAUGGGAGCCGACGCUGUGUCACCCCGAACACCGCUAUGGCUCUGUGGCGCUGCCGUCGCGUCUUCGCGAACCGUCACAGGCAGAUGCCUGCCGCAGCAGAAUCAUGCACGCCCACCUAAAUAUGAAAAGGACAAGAAAAAGUGGAGCAUCAAAUCGAAAGAGAAGAAAGCCAAGGAAGUAAGUAUCAGCUGUGCUAAAGUUUGUGAAAGUUCCUUCAGAGAUGCCAGAAUCUACACCAGGGCCAUCAGGUGUGAAUGGGCAAAACCAGGAAGAAGCUGAAGUGGUACAAAUAUGCAACACUGGUGACUUGCUAGAACCUAUAAUUGAUACUAGAAAUCAAUCAGUUUUACAUGUUUCUAAUGUGACAGCUGAAACUGUGGCACCAGAACAAACUGUACUACAUCAGUUGGGCCAGACUGUUCGGAACCACUGGAAGAUGCCUGAAAAAAAUAGAUUGUAACUUGUAUUUGCUGUUAAUAUGGUGAGGUCUAGAAGGCUUUCAGUAGAUUAAUACACACGCCACUGAAUAUCCAA